AGAAACAUUUAUUUUAAAUCCGCUGCUACAUGGAGGAAUUGAUUGCUCCUUUGCUGAUUGAAACAGUUGUGUUUUGCUGGACCAUGACUUUAUGGCCUUUUUCCUGUUUGUUUUUCAAUUGGUCUCCACAGAAAAAAAAAAAAAAGAAUGAGCUUCUCACCACUGGACAUCUCUGAUAAAAUAAUUCCUGCUGAAGGCUGCUUUGUCUUCAUCUGCACAUGUGGAGUUGCUGCAAAGCUUUCAUCUGAAGACUGAAAACCUUACGGUGUUACUGAAAGAUUCCCUGAGUAAAAAAGAAAUGUGUAGAUGCAGCCAGGACUGAACGUUUCCUCCCCAGACAUGUGGAGCUGGGCUUAAGGGGUAUAGGCUGCUUGAAAACUGGAAGAAAUGUGCAGCACAGUAAGUACGGCAGCAACAAUCCUGUCCCAUCCCAUUUUCCUCUUCCAGGUGGGCUACCAGAUUCACAGGGAGUCAUAUAUUGCUGAAGAGCUCUGGAUCCACUUCUUCCAUUGCCCAGUCCAGCUGGUCAUCAAAGCAGAGCUUCUAGUCCUGCUCCGACUCCUGUAUUAACCAGAAGACACCAAGAAACAGAGAGCCUGCCAAUUCCCUUUGCUGAUUGUCCUUAUCCCAGGAUGCUAGUUUAAAAUGGAAAUUUCCCCCUUGAAGUUACCUCUUUAGUCACAGCUUUUUAGCGUGCCUCGAAAACGUGAAGUGGGACACAAUCAGAUACAAGUAUGAUUAGUAAAGCCUCAUCCUGGCAUAAAAUGAGCCUUGUUUCAGUUUGACACUGUCAGUGUCAUAACUCCUCCCUGACAGGGAAAUUGCAGCAAUCUCCACUUGUCCUUGACCUCCUGGCACAGGUAAAACAUCCUUGGUUAUCUCCAUAGCUGGCCUCUGGUGUCCAGCUAAAUUCCAUACUUCCUGAGGUACCUUCACUCUAGGUUUCUGGGACAAGGACUGUUUGGACCAGGGUUUCCUCAGUGUUAUAGUAGUAGCAAAUCCCUGUAUUCUGCCUUACAGUACUCUGGCUGUCCUCCUGGCAUUUGAUGUGGUAAGAGGGACCUCAAUUCAGUCUUCCUGGCUGGCAUUUCCUGUGUGACCAACCCAUGGGGAGUGGUGGGAGACAUGGCCAUGUGAGAGGAACAACCUAAGUACAGUGGUCAGAAUGGAUUUCUGUGUUGGCAAGCAUAUUUUGGAAGGAAGAGAAGUGCUAUUACCUUACCAGCAAAUCAUUCCAACAGGCAUUUUAAUCACCUGCUGCAGAGGAUAAAGUGAGCUAUGGGGAAAGCUGCUGAGGUGGUCGUGGCUGGGUGAACCAAAGCUGACAGCUUCAUACAGUGAGUGUGUUCUCUCUGGCAUCUGGAUCAUGUUUGGUGCAGUUGUAGGACCCUUUGAAACCUAGUAUCUUAUUUUUCUGACACUUGGAAAAAAGAGAUCCUGAAGGAGGGACAACAAGCAAACCAAAUCAAAACAUACUUUCCCAAAAUACGCAUAAACUUUCCCUUCCAGUAAGAAAAUACCCAAAGGACAUUGGAUCUCAGCAAUGAAUCCAAGCCUUAAGAAGCAGGAUGCAUAAAACAAACAAGGCUGCCAAGGUCAGCCACAUGCUUCUGGUGCCUUCAUCCUUGGAGGAAAUUCUGGGGCCACCAGGAAAUUCCAUGUUCCCGUGACAUUUCAGAAACACAUCAGGAGGAGGGGAGCAAGGACCUUUGCCCUUGGUCUUGCUUGGAUGGAUGAGUGCCACCCAGUCUGCUGUCUCCAGAGCUGAACAGACCUGAAGACCCUGGAUAGCCUUGGAUGUAGUUGUCUAAGGACUUCUGUUAAACACUUUUCCUGCCAAGGACCUUAAAGCACUGUGUGCUACCCAGGAUUUUUCACUCCCAGGACUUGCAAGUCUGGCAUCUCUGUAAGGGUAGAAAGGAUUAAAAAUGUAUUCUUGACAACAGAAAUAAUUAAAGAAAGGUUCUUGAGAGAGUACUUGUGUUCACAGUAUUGUUAUCAUUAUGUUUGCUGAGAUGACUCUUAAUAAAACAUCAGAAAUGCAGAAACA